rnacentral:misc_RNA from 1 species
AAGUCGUAACAAGGUAACCGUAGGUGAACCUGCGGUUGGAUCAUUACCAAAGAUAUAAAAGAGCAGCUCUCCUGAUAUAUGAAUUUUUGUGUAUUAGGGGUUGUCUUCUUUUUUACACCUUUUGUGAACUUAAAUCGUGUUUUUGUGUUAUUUGGCAGUUUGGCGAAACUGUAAUAAGCCGCUGUUUCUGUUUAAGGGAAGCAUGGGCUGCCAAAAAACAAAAUAUAUUAUAACUUUUUAUAUUUAUUUUCUUUUUAAAACUUUUUUUUAAUGUUUUUUUUUCCUUUUGGGAAAAAUUUACCUAUAAAAAAAUAAUUAAAAAACAACUUUUGACAACGGAUCUCUUGGCUCUU